rnacentral:rRNA from 1 species
GUGAACGCUGGCGGCAGGCCUAACACAUGCAAGUCGAGCGGCAGCGGGUCCUUCGGGCUGCCGGCGAGCGGCGGACGGGUGAGGAAUGCAUCGGAAUCUGCCCUGUCGUGGGGGAUAACCUAGGGAAACUUAGGCUAAUACCGCAUACGACCCACGGGUGAAAGCGGGGGAUCGCAAGACCUCGCGCGAUAGGAUGAGCCGAUGUCCGAUUAGCUAGUUGGCGGGGUAAAGGCCCACCAAGGCGACGAUCGGUAGCUGGUCUGAGAGGAUGAUCAGCCACACUGGGACUGAGACACGGCCCAGACUCCUACGGGAGGCAGCAGUGGGGAAUAUUGGACAAUGGGCGCAAGCCUGAUCCAGCCAUGCCGCGUGGGUGAAGAAGGCCUUCGGGUUGUAAAGCCCUUUUGUCCGGGAAGAAAUCGUCUGGGCUAAUACCCCGGGCGGAUGACGGUACCGGAAGAAUAAGCACCGGCUAACUUCGUG